AUUGAACGCUGGCGGCAUGCCUUACACAUGCAAGUCGAACGGUAACAGGUUAAGCUGACGAGUGGCGAACGGGUGAAUAAUAUAUCGGAACGUGCCCCGUCGUGGGGGAUAACGUAGCGAAAGCUACGCUAAUACCGCAUACGAUCUACGGAUGAAAGCGGGGGAUCGCAAGACCUCGCGCGAUUGGAGCGGCCGAUAUCAGAUUAGGUUGUUGGUGAGGUAAAAGCUCACCAAGCCUGCGAUCUGUAGCUGGUCUGAGAGGACGACCAGCCACACUGGAACUGAGACACGGUCCAGACUCCUAUGGGAGGCAGCAGUGGGGAAUUUUGGACAAUGGACGCAAGUCUGAUCCAGCAAUGCCGCGUGCAGGACGAAGGCCUUCGGGUUGUAAACUGCUUUUGUACGGAACGAAACGGUGAGCUCUAAUACAGUUUGCUAAUGACGGUACCGUAAGAAUAAGCACCGGCUAACUACGUGCCAGCCGCCGCAGUAA
rnacentral:rRNA from 1 species